rnacentral:lncRNA from 1 species
UUAAUUAGGUUCAGACCCAACUCCAUUGGGCUUAAUUUGGUUCGGAUUUAACCCAAUUUAUAGUUUGGGUUCGUCCGGACUUAGCCCAAUCUGACUGGGCUCGGUUUUAGUCAAAUUUGGCUAAACCCAUUUUUCUUUUCUUUUAUUUGGGCCUAACAGGUUCGGACCCAAACUCGGAUCCGACCCGUUAGGUCGGACCCGUU